rnacentral:tRNA from 1 species
GUCAGGAUGGCCGAGCGGUCUAAGGCGCCAGACUCAAGGUAAUACCUUGCCCGUAGCCCGGGUACACGAGCGUUCUGGUCCUCUCUGAGGGCGUGGGUUCAAAUCCCACUCCUGACA